GACGAACGCUGGCGGCGUGCUUAACACAUGCAAGUCGAACGGAGCGAAUGAAAGCUUGCUUUUAUAAGCUUAGUGGCAAACGGGUGAGUAACACGUAGGCAACCUGCCGACAGGAUGGGGACAACAUUCCGAAAGGAAUGCUAAUACCGAAUGAAGCGCAGGAGAGGCAUCUCUCCUGCGUGAAAGAUGGCCUCUAUAUAUAAGCUAUCACCUGUCGAUGGGCCUGCGUCUGAUUAGCUGGUAGGUGAGGUAACGGCUCACCUAGGCGACGAUCAGUAGCCGGUCUGAGAGGAUGAACGGCCACAUUGGGACUGAGACACGGCCCAGACUCCUACGGGAGGCAGCAGUGGGGAAUCUUCCGCAAUGGGCGCAAGCCUGACGGAGCAACGCCGCGUGAGUGAAGAAGGUCUUCGGAUCGUAAAGCUCUGUUGAUGGGGACGAACGUGCCUAAUGCGAAUAGUAUUAGGUAAUGACGGUACCCAUCGAGAG
rnacentral:rRNA from 1 species